CAGACACUUCUCUCUUUUGCUCUUUCACCUCAGUAGGAAUCAGAGGGAAAAAAAAUCAGUAUUCAUCAAACGGAGACGUGAAAGUGAUGAAUCUCAAGCUUGAUUAUCGAAUCUCUCUUAUACUUUGGAAAAAAAACUAAAGAAAAUAAGGAUUUGUUUCAGCAAAAGUUUGAAUCACCUGUUCAGGCACCAAAUAUUUUUGAUAGUUUAAUUAAUGGAUCCAAAUUAGGGUUUUUUCUUUACUUUGAUUGAUUAUUCGUUGGUGAUAGUAAUUAGGUGAGAUCUGAAUCAUGAAUAUGGUGAACGAGUUAGAAGCGAUGAAUCAAAAAUUGGAGGCAAGAAAAGUGGUGGUGGGAUUUUGUGCGUUUUUAAUAUUUUUGGGAUUGUCAAAUUGUACUGGCUCUGAGGAUUCAUGUGGUCCUCCAAUACAUGCAGUUCAGCUAGCCAUGGAAGGAAGAAUACAGCUGCCGGUUUGACUGUAAAAGAUGCAAUAAUAAUAAAAGAAAGAGUUCUGCUAAAACUGAGGUAUUUGAGCUGGAUCUUAGUUCCAUGGCUUUAAUGAGAAAGUUUGUCACAUAAUUGAAGUCUUUGGAUCUUCCACUCAUCCACGCUGAACAUCUUUAUGUGAGUAUUUAAUAAAUCAAGAAGUUUAUUUUCAUUAUCCUUUUGCAGUUUCUACUUUCUUAUGGUGUUAUAUUUGUACAUGAGAUGCAAUGAGUGACUUCUUUCCUAGAGUUGAAACACAUUUGAUUUUGGUUCUGAUUCAACUCUCUCUCAAGUAUCUCAACUUGGAGAAGUGGGUUCGCGAUAUUGAUGAAGCUAAUUUGUGGAUCGUCAAAUACGUCUACUACCUCCAGAAGAUCGGACAUGAAGUAAAUCUUAGAAGUAGAGUAUUUAAUCCCUGCGAUUAUUAAUAUUUCCCCGCUUUGGAUAUUAUUUUGAAGAUUCUUCAGUGUUAGGUGUAGUUGUGAUUCCUUUACAUGUUAAGAGAUGUAUGAUUAGAUUUAGAAUGGAAGACAGACCGAAAAUUGCGUGAAUUUGUGUACAUGUUAACAUUUUUGAACAUAAAAAGAUCAGUAAAUACGUUCAUGUUUUCCAAAUGGAGAAGACCAGUAUAUGGAAGUCCAUUGAAUUGUAAAUAUACGUAUUAACACUUCCUUUACUAAGCACUUAGCACCUCUAACAAUUUAACUUACACAAGUGUGGUUUGCGUAAACAAUUUGUUCUACAAUCAUCAUAGCCUACAAAAAGGUUGGUUAGCCUGAAGCAGUCAGGGAAUUUGGAAUCUGCAUAGCCUUACUAGCAAGUUGCUGGGCUUUUAAUCCUUAUAGGCCUUCCUAACAAUAAUCUCUGUUGUACAAUUACCUGUUGAAGCUGUUAUUGUUACAACCGCCAGUGUUAUUGGAGGAGCUGUUAUUGAUCAUGUAAGUUCUGCACAAACUACGACGAUUAGGGUCACAUGGGGCUAAUCACAAAUGGAGUGCUAGCUUCUCUAAAGACUCCGAGCUUCUCAAAACAUGGGCGUGGAAGAUUCAGUGUCCUGUAACCUGCUUCAGCAAAUCCUGGAAAAGAGAUUGGUAGCUCCAAAACCCCUCUCAUAUCAUUUUAUUUGUUAAGUGUUAUUUCCUUUCUUAUGUAGUUUGAACAUUCAGUAAUUAAGUGAGUUUUCUUUUAGUAAUGCAACUUAGUAUGGUUGUAACUAAUCAAGUAAAAACUAUUGAUGAGAGCAAGUAAAACUAUUGAUGAGAGCGUAUAAUUCUUAUAUCAGAUGCCUAAACUCAGUAGACACAAAUAUAGUUCUUCAUGUUUUAGGUCACGUGCGCUAUAUGGUGAUGCUCGAUAAUAACAUAUGCAACUUUAAAAAGAUUAACUGUUCCGGUUAUAUGCAUUAUUAGAAAUGUAACUCAUUAUUUUAUGCACUGUAGAAAGAAGAUAAUUUUCUCUUUUCACCUUUUCUUUUUAGUUUUUAAUCGGAUUCUAUUUCCACCUGUGUGAUUCCUUUUCUGCUCUCCAGAAAAACGAUAUACCUACGCUUUCUUCUUUGGUUCGUACUUGAUUUUCGUUUUGUUUUGGAUGUAGAGAGAGACUAAUUUGAACAAUGGGUGUUCCAUCAAACAAAACUUGGUACAUAUAUUUCAUUUUGCAUUUUUUAAGUCAUCAUCAGCAUCGACCUCUUAUUAUUUCAUUUAGGCUCAUCCUUUAUCGACUUUUAUCUUUAAUUAUACGAUUAUCCUGUAUAUAAUCCUUCUCUUCGUAAUAUGCAAUAUUUAGGUAGAAGGGGGGCACAUGGGCAUGUUCCGUAUGUCAUUUAGAGAGUCUUGACCUUAGGUGUACAUAUUGUCAUUUGUUAAUAGGAAAAUUUUGGUGCAUUUUACUUAUUAUUACUGAUAUUUCUCAUUGUUUUGUUUAUUCCAUAUAUUUUUUUGUUCAUGCCCAGGAAUGAGAUGUAUAUGUUAGUUUUCCCAGUUGAUGAAAAAGGAUAAUCAAUUGUUCUUUUAAGAGAUGCGUCGCGUUUCUUCGUAAGAACUAUUAAUUUCUGAUCAAAGAAUUGUAACCUGGACAUUAAUGUAGUAACUACUACUGUAAUUCUCCCAAAGAUAUUUUCUUCGAUGUAAUUAGAAAGUAUAUAGGUUUAACAUCUUAAAAUUCUCGGGAUAGGUAUCUGCUCCGUGUUGAAGCACAACCCCGUAAUGGGUCGACCAUUGUUGGUGUGUUGCAUGCUACGAGCCAACACUUCGCCCGCUACCCAGCGUUGACAUUAUUUCAAAGGAAUAGGUUAACCACAUCUUUCAACCAGUUUUAAUAUUCUCUAAAUUUCCUUUCUUAUCAUUAACGGCUUCAUCGUUGCCAUAUAUCUGAGUCUAUAAAUGCUGUGCUCACUCUUUAUUUUUGGUAGAAACAGAUUAGUGAUAGAUCACACGUCGUUUCCACUUUUGAAUUCAAGUUUACACUUAAUCCCUUAAACAAUGAAAAAAAUUAGAACACUGAGUUUCUCCAUUACAAGAAUCGCCUGCCUAUUAUUCUCUAUCCCAGGCACUCAGCUCAGAAACCUACAUUUGUGCUUCAACUGUCGGCAACAAGCAUGUUUCAGAUUCUGAUGAAGAUAAGUUCUCAAAUGGACUUUCCCAGGUCAAAAGAUUGUUGAACCGUUUUUGGUUACCAGUUUAAACUAAUCUUUGUUUGCGUCAAUCCGUAUUUAUUACGUAUAUGCAUGGUUAUUUGUUGUUAGAUUCCCUAUUUGUUGUAAGGCAGUGUAGGCAAUAGUUGGAAACCAGUGUAGUUUUUUACUGGGAUGCACUCUACUUAGCCACUGUCAAGUUCUAAUUUAUUGGUUCACUAGAUUAAUUUUUUCUCUUGAAACCAUAAUGAAAAUGUUUCUUGGGAAUCUAAAGGUUUAUAAACAUAAACUAACAUUUUAAUAAUCUCGAUUUGUGUCAAUCCUUAUUUAUUACGUAUAUGCAUGUUUAUUUGUUGUUAGAUUCUCUAUUUGUAGUAAGGCAGUGUAGCUGGAAACCAGUGUAGUCUUUUACUGGGAUGCACUCCACUUAGCCGGUGUCAAGUUCUACUUUAUUGGUUCACUAGAUUAUUUUUUUCUCUUGAAACCAGAAUGAAAACGUUUCUUGGGAAUCUAAAGGUUUAUAAACAUAAACUAAAAUUUGAAUAUUCCUAUGACAUGGAUAUAAAAAGUAAUUGUAGGUGAUGCACAGACCAUUCACUCUCCUCCAGACUUCUACCUGAAGGUAAAUUUAUUUGAUUCAUUAUUUGAAUAGCUCUUAUCUCUAAAAGACCAAGCCCUGGAUCUCACUAACGUUAACUUGGUAACACUCGAUGAUCUGAGGGUUUAUCAGCAAUCAUUUAUUUAGUUGCAUUUGAGCAUUGAGUAUCAUACAUGAUGAUUUCCAUUUAAAAAAUAAAAAAUUAAUGGAUUGCACCAAGCAUAAUAUCAUUUACCUAUGUUCUCUACAUAAUGGAUAAAAUUAGGCUAACUAUGGUUUAUUUUUUUUAGCUACAAAGAUAAUCUCAUGAGAAGCUUGGCCAAACUUUUUAUAGAACUUGAGGAGUCUUUUCUAGCUGAGCAUCAGAUUUCUGAAUUAGAUGUAAAUAUCUUACUUGCGUAACUUUCGUAUGGAUUAGUUUUUCUUUCAGAAGACUUCAUUAGAUUAAGGUUGUUGGGUGAUCGUCAAAUUCUAGAUUAUGUCUUCUAAAAUUUUCUAAGAUUCUAGAGAGAGGGAGCUAACUGGAGUUGAAAUAUCUUCAAAUUGUGUUGCUAAUGAGUGGAAGGAAGAAAAUGACAAAACCAGACCUGUUAAGGAGUGGCUUGAAUAUUAAUGGUUGUUCUAGGUAUUUGUUUCCCUUUGAAUAACAUCCUAAGAAUCUUUCUUCCUCGAUUCGUGUUUUAAUUAUAACUUUUUAGACUACAAGUAUAAACUAAUUCUGUUUCAGCUUUUCAUAGAGUGAAGGCUAGAUGCCAUGGUUGCGAACUUUCUGCACAUACUUUUCAGGAGUGGAGAUUGUUAGAAGAGACAUGUGUGUCUUCUCAAUCACGGUGUAUGUUAAGCAAAGUAAGUUGUGGCAUUUCCAACCAGUUGAAAAGAGGAUGAAGCAAAUAUUGAAUAUCCAUCCGUAGCUUGGUGGAAAAGGAACCUUCUCGACAACGAUAAGUUGGACUUGAUAAAUUUAUUUCUGGCAUAACAGAGAAAA